UACGGAGGGUGCGAGCGUUGUCCGGAAUCACUGGGCGUAAAGGGCGCGUAGGCGGCCUGAUAAGUAGGGGGUGAAAUCCUGCGGCUUAACCGCAGGGCUGCCUUCUAAACUGUCAGGCUCGAGCACAGUAGAGGCAGGUGGAAUUCCCGGUGUAGCGGUGGAAUGCGUAGAGAUCGGGAAGAACAUCAGUGGACGAAGGCGGCCUGCUGGGCUGUGCUGACGCUGAGGCGCGACAGC
rnacentral:rRNA from 1 species